UACGUAGGGGGCAAGCGUUGUCCGGAUUUAUUGGGCGUAAAGAGCUCGUAGGCGGUUUCGUAAGUCGGGUGUGAAAACUCUGGGCUCAACCCAGAGACGCCACCCGAUACUGCGAUGACUAGAGUCUGGUAGGGGAUCGUGGAAUUCCUGGUGUAGCGGUGAAAUGCGCAGAUAUCAGGAGGAACACCAGCGGCGAAGGCGGGUCUCUGGGCAACAACUGACGCUGAGGAGCGAAAGCGUGGGGAGCGAACAGG
rnacentral:rRNA from 1 species